UACGAAGGGGGCUAGCGUUGCUCGGAAUUACUGGGCGUAAAGGGCGCGUAGGCGGAUGUCUAAGUUGGGGGUGAAAUCCCGGGGCUCAACCUCGGAACCGCCUUCAAUACUGGAUAUCUUGAGUCCGGGAGAGGUGAGUGGAACUGCGAGUGUAGAGGUGAAAUUCGUAGAUAUUCGCAAGAACACCAGUGGCGAAGGCGGCUCACUGGCCCGGUACUGACGCUGAGGUGCGAAAGCGUGGGGAGCAAACAGGG
rnacentral:rRNA from 1 species